UUAAAGGCUAAAAAAGAUGCUGGUCGACCCUCACGAGUGGACUUACCUCAACUUGUGGGUGACUCAACUUGAACCGUCGAUUAGGCUAGUCAAUUUUUCCUACACUGGCAAUUUGCAAUUCUCGUCAAGUCAAAAACAGAACCAAGAAAUCCAGCAUUCAAAAGAAUGGUUCUAUGAUUAGCGAGUUUAGCCACUUUGCUUCAAGUAUUGCAAGUUUAUUCCCUGUACGUACAUGUCUCUCUACCUGCUAGAUGCUGUUUGUGAAAGAGUUUACAGGGGUUUGGCGUCGAGCCAUAGCAAAGAAAAAGAAACCAUCACUUUUUUGCAUUGAAGCUACGCACUAGAAUGAAUACAACAUCAAAGGCGUCCUGCAACUUCAAAUUUCAAACCUGAGAAUUAGAAUCAGGCAGCCAAUGGCUUUUCCUUGUUUUGUUUUUUUUUGAAUUUAUCACCAAAAGCAGCAGAACCAAAGUGUUGAUGAAGAGUUUCUUCCUGGAAUAUAUUA